rnacentral:rRNA from 1 species
GACGAACGCUGGCGGCGUGCCUAAUACAUGCAAGUCGAACGAGAGCGACCGGUGCUUGCACUGGUCAAUCUAGUGGCGAACGGGUGAGUAACACGUGGGUAACCUGCCUAUCAGAGGGGGAUAACAUUCGGAAACGGAUGCUAAAACCGCAUAGGUCCUUUAACCGCAUGGUUGAAGGAGGAAAAGAGGCGCAAGCUUCUGCUGAUGGAUGGACCCGCGGUGCAUUAGCUAGUUGGUGAGGUAACGGCUCACCAAGGCCGUGAUGCAUAGCCGACCUGAGAGGGUGAUCGGCCACAUUGGGACUGAGACACGGCCCAAACUCCUACGGGAGGCAGCAGUAGGGAAUCUUCCGCAAUGGACGCAAGUCUGACGGAGCAACGCCGCGUGAGUGAAGAAGGUUUUCGGAUCGUAAAACUCUGUUGUUAGAGAAGAACAAGUGCUAGAGUAACUGUUAGCGCCUUGACGGUAUCUAACCAGAAAGCCACGGCUAACUACGUGCCAGCAGCCGCGGUAAUACGUAGGUGGCAAGCGUUGUCCGGAUUUAUUGGGCGUAAAGCGAGCGCAGGCGGUUCCUUAAGUCUGAUGUGAAAGCCCCCGGCUCAACCGGGGAGGGUCAUUGGAAACUGGGGAACUUGAGUGCAGAAGAGGAGAGUGGAAUUCCAUGUGUAGCGGUGAAAUGCGUAGAUAUAUGGAGGAACACCAGUGGCGAAGGCGACUCUCUGGUCUGUAACUGACGCUGAGGCUCGAAAGCGUGGGUAGCAAACAGG